rnacentral:rRNA from 1 species
GACGAACGCUGGCGGCGCGCCUAACACAUGCAAGUCGAACGGAGUCAAGAGGAGCUUGCUUUUCUUGACUUAGUGGCGAACGGGUGAGUAACGCGUGAGUAACCUGCCCUGGAGUGGGGGACAACAGUUGGAAACGACUGCUAAUACCGCAUAAGCCCACGGAUCUGCAUGGAUCUGCGGGAAAAGGAUUUAUUCGCUCUAGGAUGGACUCGCGUCCAAUUAGCUAGUUGGUGAGGUAACGGCCCACCAAGGCGACGAUUGGUAGCCGGACUGAGAGGUUGAACGGCCACAUUGGGACUGAGACACGGCCCAGACUCCGACGGGAGGCAGCAGUGGGGGAUAUUGCACAAGGGGGGAAACCCUGAUGCAGCGACGCCGCGUGGAGGAAGAAGGUUGUCGGAUUGUAAACUCCUGUCGUUAGGGACGAUAAUGACGGUACCUAACAAGAAAGCACCAGCUAACUACGUG